rnacentral:rRNA from 1 species
CUACGGGACGCUGCAGUGGGGAAUAUUGCGCAAUGGGCGAAAGCCUGACGCAGCCACGCCGCGUGUGUGAUGAAGGCCUUCGGGUUGUAAAGCACUGUCGGGAGGGAAGAAGGCACUUUGUGCUUGACGGUACCUCGCAAGAAAGCGCCGGCUAACUCCGUGCCAGCAGCCGCGGGUAAUACGGAGGGCGCAAGCGUUGCUCGGAAUCACUGGGCGUAAAGCGCACGCAGGCGGCACACUAAGUCGGGUGUGAAAUCCCCGGGCUCAACCCGGGACGUGCAUCCGAAACUGGUGAGCUAGAGUACGUGAGAGGGAAGCGGAAUUCCUGGUGUAGAGGUGAAAUUCGUAGAUAUCAGGAGGAACACCGGUGGCGAAGGCGGCUUCCUGGCGCGUUACUGACGCUCAUGUGCGAAAGCGUGGGGAGCAAACAGGAUUAGAUACCCUGGUAGUC